CCUACGGGUGGCAGCAGUGAGGAAUAUUGGUCAAUGGACGAGAGUCUGAACCAGCCAAGUAGCGUGAAGGAUGACUGCCCUCUGGGUUGUAAACUUCUUUUAUAUGGGACUAAAAUGUUACACGUGUGGGAUUUUGUAUGUACCAUAUGAAUACGGAUCGGCUAACUCCGUGCCAGCAGCCGCGGUAAUAAGGAGGAUGCGAGCGUUAUCCGGAUUUAUUGGGUUUAAAGGGAGCGUAGGUGGAUUGUUAAGUCAGUUGUGAAAGUUUGCGGCUCAACCGUAAAAUUGCAGUUGAAACUGGCAGUCUUGAGUACAGUAGAGGUGGGCGGAAUUCGUGGUGUAGCGGUGAAAUGCUUAGAUAUCACGAAGAACUACGAUUGCGAAGGCAGUUCACUGGACUGCAACUGACACUGAGGCUCGAAAGUGUGGGUAUCAAACAGGAUUAGAUACCCCGGUAGUC
rnacentral:rRNA from 1 species